ACCAUUCACUAGAUCUGCAAUUUUUCAGGAAAUGUGUUUCCAAGCUUGAUCGCCAGGAGAUCCGCCGUUAUCUGGAAAUGUUUUAUGCUCUCAAGUAUCGCAAGUUGGCUGAAGCUGUUCCAUUGGCUGUUGAUCAGUAAGAGUUUGCGGCAGAAAAAGUUGGAAGCAGCGGGAGGGAGACAAAUAAAUAAAAGAGCUUGAGAUCGUGUAAAAAGAAGAGGAUUGUGUUUUUGUUACUUCUGCCAGUCUUGCCUUUCUUUAUUGUUGGUUGGUUGUGUC